CGGGUCGCUGCAGCAGUGGGGAAUAUUGCACAAUGGGCGCAAGCCUGAUGCAGCCAUGCCGCGUGUAUGAAGAAGGCCUUCGGGUUGUAAAGUACUUUCAGCGGGGAGGAAGGGAGUAAAGUUAAUACCUUUGCUCAUUGACGUUACCCGCAGAAGAAGCACCGGCUAACUCCGUGCCAGCAGCCGCGGUAAUACGGAGGGUGCAAGCGUUAAUCGGAAUUACUGGGCGUAAAGCGCACGCAGGCGGUUUGUUAAGUCAGAUGUGAAAUCCCCGGGCUCAACCUGGGAACUGCAUCUGAUACUGGCAAGCUUGAGUCUCGUAGAGGGGGGUAGAAUUCCAGGUGUAGCGGUGAAAUGCGUAGAGAUCUGGAGGAAUACCGGUGGCGAAGGCGGCCCCCUGGACGAAGACUGACGCUCAGGUGCGAAAGCGUGGGGAGCAAACAGGAUUAGAUACCCCCGUAGUC
rnacentral:rRNA from 1 species